rnacentral:rRNA from 1 species
AUUGAACGCUGGCGGCAGGCCUAACACAUGCAAGUCGAACGGUAACAGGAAGAAGCUUGCUUCUUUGCUGACGAGUGGCGGACGGGCGAGUAAUGUCUGGGAAACUGCCUGAUGGAGGGGGAUAACUACUGGAAACGGUAGCUAAUACCGCAUAACGUCGCAAGACCAAAGAGGGGGACCUUCGGGCCUCUUGCCAUCGGAUGUGCCCAGAUGGGAUUAGCUAGUAGGUGGGGUAACGGCUCACCUAGGCGACGAUCCCUAGCUGGUCUGAGAGGAUGACCAGCCACACUGGAACUGAGACACGGUCCAGACUCCUACGGGAGGCAGCAGUGGGGAAUAUUGCACAAUGGGCGCAAGCCUGAUGCAGCCAUGCCGCGUGUAUGAAGAAGGCCUUCGGGUUGUAAAGUACUUUCAGCGGGGAGGAAGGGAGUAAAGUUAAUACCUUGGCUCAUUGACGUUACCCGCAGAAGAAGCACCGGCUAACUCCGUG